GUGGGGAAUCUUGCGCAAUGGGCGAAAGCCUGACGCAGCCAUGCCGCGUGAAUGAUGAAGGUCUUAGGAUUGUAAAAUUCUUUCACCGGGGACGAUAAUGACGGUACCCGGAGAAGAAGCCCCGGCUAACUUCGUGCCAGCAGCCGCGGUAAUACGAAGGGGGCUAGCGUUGCUCGGAAUUACUGGGCGUAAAGGGCGCGUAGGCGGACAGUUUAGGCAGAGGUGAAAGCCCAGGGCUCAACCUUGGAAUUGCCUUUGAUACUGGCUGUCUUGAGUACGGGAGAGGUGAGUGGAACUCCGAGUGUAGAGGUGAAAUUCGUAGAUAUUCGGAAGAACACCAGUGGCGAAGGCGACUCACUGGCCCGUUACUGACGCUGAGGCGCGAAAGCGUGGGGAGCAAACAGGAUUAGAAACCCUAGUAGUCC
rnacentral:rRNA from 1 species